AUGUACGGAUGGUUACUAAGAAGAAUCACCUCUGCUAUAGGUCUGGACUUGGACGCCCAUGGACCAAACUAUUGGGUCUGUGAUGGGAUUAUACAGGGCCAAGGCAAUACAUCAGCAUGGGAAAUUGGCAAUUCUCUGCAGAGGAACAUGCCCUUAGAUUGGAUGAGGAAGAACCCUAAAGACACAAUUUAUUUGGCAGAUUUGCUUAAGAGAAACAAUGAUCUUGAUGAUGGUCGCUGGGUUUACAUCACACACAAAGAACCUGGAUGGAGUGAUACUGUGCUGGCUCCUGUGGUGACAUCCUUCUUCUUGUAUGCAGAUGAAUCACCAACAAAUACAAUACCAAUGUUGCCAGUUAGCAUGUUCCAACAUUCACAAAGCAGCAAGCUGCGUGUGUUACAUCUGUCUCAUUGCACCUUCAGUUUUGCAUCUCCUCCUUUCUUCAACUGUGUCCAACUAAGAUUGCUGCAUCUGGACCACUGCAGAAAUAACAUAGGCAAGGAAAAGCAUCCAAGCCCUAAUGAAAGCAUAUCAUGUUUCCAGAAGCUAUGGGUGCUGGAUCUGAGGUAUACAGAAUGGUACUGGCUGCUAUCUGAAAAGAUGAAGACAGUGAUGGUUGAACUCAGGGAGUUUAAUGUGGAGGGAGUCAAGCAUGGGAGCAUUAGUGAUUUGUGUGGCGGUAGACCUAGCCUUGUCAUACUUCGAGUAACAGCAGAUCCAGUACAUACGGAGAACGAAGACACAAAUAAUCAAGCACAGUUCCCCAAUAUGUCCAGUACAAACAGUGUUACAAUACCUAGCUACAUCAACAACGUCCUGCCUCCGUGGCUCGAGUCAUUUAGCUUCAUCAACAAAGCUGCAACUGAUGCCAAGAUAUCUAGCAUCUCCUUCCGGGGUUGUUCUCAGUUGAAGAAUAUACUUCUCAGAGGAAAUUUGGGGAGCCUGGAGGAGCUGGACCUCUCGGGCACGUUAGUGAAAACCCUUGACCUCAGAGAAGUGGAAUCUCUAAACCUCAAGUGUCUCAUGUUGCUGGACUGCGAGAAGCUCCGUGCAAUAUUAUGGCCACCAGAAGAUAAAAGGAGAUGGGUUUUGGAGAAGUUGCAGAUCAACACCGUCCAAUCUGCACCACCUAGCCAGAAUAAUUGGGAAGAGAAGAUCAAGGAGGCUAGUCCUACUGCAGGAUCAUCAUCUAUCCUUACAUUUGGGGCUUCACCAUUAGGCACCAGGCGAAUUGCAUCUUUUGACUUCAAUUGGUACAUAUCUGUCAUGGAUCCAAGGCUCAUGCGGUCGCUUCUGCCCUUUCAGCGAUAUAUUGAGCAAGCCUUUGUGUACAUGGAGAUUGAUUCAUCUCCUGCCAGUGGAGCUGCUGUUGGUGGCUGUCAGGUUGCUCAAGGCAUCAGGAGCCAGCAGCAGAUUGCUCAAGCUCAAUACGUAUAUGCAAGUGAUGUCUAUCAAGAGGACCCGCAAGCUGUCAGUGCUAUCGAAGGUGUGAUCAGCUGGAUGUGGGCUUGCCCACCUACUCCUACUCCACUUCCUCGAGACUGGUACUUCCACAUGCAAGACGAAGAGAAGAUGGAAAGAGGAUCUUUACAACAACAACACAACGCCCGAAGGAUUAAUACCGGUGUUUGUUUAGCCCCUGUUUGGAUGUGUGAUAAUGCACGGAUGCUGUAUGUGCAUGAUAGCUAUUCCACCACUUGCAUUCCAUGCCCACAAAGUUCAGACUGGAGGUAUCUUGACUGGUGCCGAGUUGAGAGGUGCCCCAAGUUAUGCUCUGUCUUUGCUACUCCCCAACUAAGUGAUGGUCGGACCGCCUUUUUGUGCUUGUCUACGUUCUGGGCAUCCCAGCUCCCUAUGGCGUCCUACAUCUGGAACUGGAGUACAAUAUACCAACCAACAGGAAGUUCCUUUGAAGACCUAGUAUUCCUGCACCUAGACUAUUGCCCCAGGCUCAAGCAUGUGCUUCCCUUGUCUAAGCAUAUGGACACCCUGCCUAGCCUGGAGACGCUGGAGAUCGUGUGCUGCGGUGAUCUGAAGGAAAUCUUCCCUUUGGACCCUAAUCGCCAAGAGAAGCAGGAAACUAUAGAAUUUCCCAAGCUAAGAAGGAUCCACCUGUACCAGCUCUCCAACCUACAGAGCAUCUGUGGGAGCAGGAUGUCCGCGCCGAACCUUGAGACCGUCAGAAUCCGGGGCUGUUGGGGCCUUCGAUGCCUGCCGGCAGUCAGCGGCAGCACCACCAACCGGCCCAAGGUGGACUGCGAGAAGGACUGGUGGGACAACCUGGAGUGGGAAGGGCUGGGGGCGAAGCACGACCCUUCGCUCUAUGAGCCGAGCCACUCGCGAUACUACAAGAAGGCCCACCUGCCAAGGGUCACCGUUCUCAGGUAA
rnacentral:rRNA from 1 species